rnacentral:rRNA from 1 species
CCUACGGGUGGCAGCAGUGAGGAAUAUUGGUCAAUGGGCGCGAGCCUGAACCAGCCAAGUCGCGUGAGGGAUGAAGGUUCUAUGGAUCGUAAACCUCUUUUAUAAGGGAAUAAAGUGUGGGAUGUGUCCUCUUUUGUAUGUACCUUAUGAAUAAGGAUCGGCUAACUCCGUGCCAGCCGCCGCGGUAAUACGGAGGAUCCGAGCGUUAGCCGGAUUUAUUGGGUUUAAAGGGUGCGUAGGCGGCGUUUUAAGUCAGCGGUGAAAGUGUGUGGCUCAACCAUAGAAGUGCCGUUGAAACUGGUGGUCUUGAGUAUGUUAGAGGCAGGCGGAAUGCGUGGUGUAGCGGUGAAAUGCUUAGAUAUCACGCAGAACCCCGAUUGCGAAGGCAGCCUGC